rnacentral:rRNA from 1 species
GAUUUCUGGUUUGGUAUGCCUGACCCGUUAUGGUUACAUAAUUGUGUGUCGGUGCGUGCCUGCCAUCCUUCUAGAAUAUUUUCUCGCAUUCUUCAUUGGAUGUCGGGAUUGUCGUUCUAGAUCUUUUACUUUGAAAAAAUUAGAGUGUUUAAAGCAGGCUUUUGCUAUGAAUACAUUAGCAUGGAAUAAUAAUCUAGGACUUCGGUUCUAUUUUGUUGGUUUCUAUAACUGAAGUAAUGAUUGAUAGGGAUAGUUGGGGGUGCUAGUAUUGGCCGGCCAGAGGUGAAAUUCUUGGAUUCGGUCAAGACUAACUUAUGCGAAAGCAUU